rnacentral:rRNA from 1 species
GUUGACCUCGGAUCAGGUAGGAAUACCCGCUUAACUUAA